UGGACGGUUACCCAAGUGGACAAAGGGGACUGACUGUAAAUCAGUUGGCACAGGCCUUCGUUGGUUCGAAUCCAACACCGUCCAU
rnacentral:tRNA from 1 species